rnacentral:rRNA from 1 species
UACGGAGGAUGCAAGCGUUAUCCGGAAUUAUUGGGCGUAAAGCGUCCGCAGGUGGCCCUUCAAGUCUGCUGUCAAAGACCGGGGCUUAACCCUGGAAAGGCAGUGGAAACUGAAGCGCUAGAGUGUGGCAGGGGUAGAGGGAAUUCCCGGUGUAGCGGUGAAAUGCGUAGAGAUCGGGAAGAACAUCGGUGGCGAAAGCGCUCUACUGGGCCAUAACUGACACUCAGGGACGAAAGCUAGGGGAGCGAAUGGG